rnacentral:rRNA from 1 species
CCUACGGUGCGCAGCAGUGAGGAAUAUUGGUCAAUGGGCGAAAGCCUGAACCAGCCAAGUCGCGUGAGGGAAGACGGUCCUACGGAUUGUAAACCUCUUUUGUCAGGGAGCAAGGAGCGCCACGAGUGGUGCGGCGAAAGUACCUGAAGAAAAAGCAUCGGCUAACUCCGUGCCAGCAGCCGCGGUAAUACGGAGGAUGCAAGCGUUAUCCGGAUUUAGUGGGUUUAAAGGGUGCGCAGGCGGAAGCGGCAAGUCAGCGGGAAAAUUGCGGGGCUCAACCACGCCGAGCCGUUGAAACUGCUCUUCUAGAGUAGUCGAGAAGUAUGCGGAAUGCGUGGUGUAGCGGUGAAAUGCGUAGAUAUAACGCAGAACUCCGAUUGCGAAGGCAGCAUACCGGCGCCCAACUGACGCUCAUGCACGAAAGCGUGGGUAUCGAACAGGAUUAGAUACCCCUGUAGUC